CAGCAGAAAUUCAACAACAGAUUUUAACCUGUUAGCUUUAGAGCUACAUUUAUAUAGCUCCCCAAUUAGUCACUUGUAACUUUACAUUGACAAUUAUGCCCAUUCCAGAGAAGGGACAGAAGGACGCCUUAACCUCUGCAUUCAAUAUAUCUGUGCACUGCAGCUGCAACACAAAGCCAAUGCAAGCAUUUAAGCCACAAUUACUGUUGAGUUCAUCUGCACUUUCAGAGUAGAGCAGUGACAACUCCCAGCCUUUUAGCCUCACUCUUGAAAUCUAAGAGCAGGCAAGUUCUAAAAGCAGAAAACAGUUACCAGACACAGCAUCACCUUUACAGGCAAAGUUAGAAAAGGUUACAUUUAUUCCUUACUAAGUCCCCUACUUCAGUUGAGCAAAGCACUCAACUACAGGUCUCCAGGCCGGAGUACUAAUGGCAACAGUGACCAGAACAGCUCAGGUGAACCCUUUAAUGGGAAAAGUGAAAAAAUGCUGCAGUUUAGUGAGGGGACAGCACUCUUCUUCCAUUUGCCUUCAGUUUGCUUUCAUUUCUGUGAGGCACCAGUUUGCGCAAGUCUCACAGAGACCUUCUGCAAUACAAAGCUUUUGUACACAGAAUCCAAAACUUUACCAACAGCCUCUUUGCCAAUGCCAGUGCAAACCUGCAUCUUACUUGUCAGAAGUCAGAUACAGAUCCUGAAAUUCCUGUUUGCUAACCUUUCCUUCACACUGACCAUGAAUGCAUCUUGACUGUGACUGGAAAGGCUGCACCUUCCUCUCAGAAACCCUGCCAUAGCAUCUAUAGUAUCUGGGCAUUACAUUCACAACCUUGCAGUAAACCCCUUCUGUAGCACAGCUUAUGCAUCUCAGCACUGUGUGCUACACAGGUAAGGCUCUGCCCUAGCAAGUGUCAAAUUAAAUGGCACUUAUCACUAGGGACACUUCCUUCAGUGUGUUUUUUUUCUUCCGGACGCACACUGCCUUUGCUUUGAACUUCUCAAGCAGCUUCCAGUCUAUGCAUCCAUUUUCUCAUCCAAAUCUAAUGAAAUCACAAGUAAUCCUCUUUCAGCUGGAGGACAGCAUUGGUCUUUUCUGAUAAUUGUAUUUUAGACUGCUCCAAAUCCUCCAUAAUGAGGUGUUUAAAAAAACUAUAUAUUUUAAGCCAUGGUAUCUCAAUCAUGGGAAUAAAACCACCUUGCUAAGAACUAAUAUUUGAUUCCAUCAGUAGUGAAAAUAACACUACCCAAAGAAAACAGCUCUACCCUAGAGGACUGAGUAAGAAGAAAGAGGGUCAAUAUGACUCAACAGCAAAAGGCAGACUACAGAACAAGUUAUUAAUGCACCUUACGGGUGUUCUUUGCCAGCAGCGCUGGCUGAUAUAAACAAGUUCUCCUUAACUAAUCAUUAACCCAGUAACCUUGUGAAGCGGACUGAGGAAAACCCUAAACACUGUUCCAAUGAAGACCCUUCUAUUGCAGCUCAGCUCUUCCAUUAAAAGCUCAACAUUCACUAUGUACAGCACUUCUUUUCUAAAUAAGCUUGACAGUGGGAUCACCUUUCUACGACACCUCCUUCCACAAACACCUGUGGCAGAAUGAACGCUGCUGACUGGUUUGUGCCCUCUCUCUUUUCUCAUAAGUCGCAGAAAAGGCUCAAAUGCCUGAAACAAGCUCGUUGUUUCCAUAAUCCUGAUCAUUUGAGCCAAAUGAAACGCAUUCUGCACUAAGCAGGCUGUUCUGGAACUCGCCUGUUAACAAACCCUAUUUCUCCUCCUUGCAGUUGCAGUAAUAGGCCUGUGUUUAGACACUAUAGGUCAUCCAAAACCACCUACGUUUCACACAUGAGACACAUCCCUAAAAACAGUACAACAACGAGCCAACAGAAAAGCCAGACCUACUGGUUCCUCUGGACAGCGACUAACAACAGCUGAAGCAUUUUGGAAAAGUCAAGGCCCUCCCCCGCAAAGGAAUCUCGGAAAGCCACAGGAGGUAACUCAAAUCUAAGAGGGGAAGGCGAGGACUCCUCUCCCCCAUCUCCAUUUCUGUCACUCAGUUGUUUCCACAACCACAAGGCUUUCCCCUGCCCUGCAAGGUAUUCACCCAGCACUAAACCUUUUCCAUUUCCCUCUGGCAGGAAGCACUGCAGUUCCUCCUUUUAGGAGAUGCCCCACAUCUCCUAAACCAGAUACUUAAAACAAAAACCUAUUCAAAGGUUAUGAAAAGUAAAUACUGUGUGGGAGACAAAGCCAGGUUAAUGAAAAAGAUUAAGGAAAACAUCAUGCUCUGUUUGCAGAACUUGGUUCUGUGCUGUGUGUAAUCCCAUGUACUUGCAGAGAAAACAAGUGAUGGAAUAACCAGACCAAGGAAUCCUGCAGUGAAACUUUACAAAUCAUACAGAUCUCGAUUAGCGUGCUUGAAGAAUGUAGUACUCGCAGAACAUUUCAGAACUGUUCAACAUCACCCUGACAGCUAUCAGAGCUACAGCCUGAGACAGGAGGACAAGUGGCUCCUUUAUCCAAUGCCAAAGAGCAUUGUGCUACAGGGAAAACCUGGAUCAGUCUUUCAAAGCCUGCAAGUGGUAACUAAAAGGACAAAUUCCCCAUUAUUUAAAUACAGAAUUAUCCAAUAUAAAUAUUUUGGUUUAUCCUAACAACAGCAAACCCCCAACCCUGUAAUCCUUAAAUUCAGGUGAGGAAAAAAUGGAUGCAAAAGUACUCAACUGUCUGAACCAUGUGGAAGGUCUUUACCGUCAUGUUUAAUUUUUCUUUAAUUUUGGAAAGCCAAGAGACACAGCCCAAAUAUACCAAAACACAGGUCUCGUCUCUUGGCAUAAACUGUUACCAAACUCUUCUGCAGGAGGCAGGGAUUACCCAAAAUCUUCCCCAAAAGCCUCCCAGAAAACUGACCAUAUAAAUGCAAUCCUGAAAAACACCUUAUUCUGCUAAUCCAAAUACCACACGCUUCAGAGUGAUCGUUAACCAUGCUUCUCAGCUUCCUACCCCAGCAGCCAUACCUCCCGUUUCCUUUUUUUACGACCGUAAACAUCAAACAAAACAAAAAACUAGCAUCGCAGGCCUACAAAAUACACAUGCCGCGUGGUGGAUUCUCCCUUCCUUUCUGCAAGUGUUCCCAGGUGUGAUUCAGGGCACAGCAUCACGUAAACACCAUGAGCAGAGCAGGGCCGAGGCUACGCAAGGGCCCUCCACCACUAGUAAUUCCAAAUACAGUGCUGCUCAGUUACACCACUGACUCUCAGUCUUAACCCAGAGGAGAAAAAGAGAUUAAAAAUGACCAUCCCGAGUUUCAAGGGAUUUCUUUCUCAUGUCAGAUCCCAAUUAUCACAGAAUCAUAGAAUGGUUUGGAAGGGACCUUAAAGAUUACCCAGUUCCAAACCCCCUGCCGUGGGCAGGGACACCUCCUCCUAGACCAGGCGACUCAAGGCCCCACCCAAUCAGGCCUCCAACACUUCCACGGAGAGGGCAUCCAAAACUUCCCUGGGUAACCUGUGCUAGUGCCUCACCACCCUCAGCGUGAAGAAUUUCUUCCUAAUGCCUAACCAGAAUCUUCCCUCUUCCAGUUUAAAACCGGGCAUUUCUGAACCACUGUUCCUGAACCGAAGACUUAGCAGCGUAUUUCAGGAAGACCCCACGCUACAGAACCCCAAGAUCGCUCGACAGCUCUGGUUUUCCGCCGCGGGCGAGCCUCUCGCACAAAGCGAGCAGCGCCAGCCCCGCCGUGGGCGGAGGAGGCGGGAUGGGGGAGCGGGCAGGACAGCGGGGAGCCCAGCGCGCGGAGAGGAGCCAUAGUAAAUAACAAGCAUCCAGUUUCUGAGGAGAAAGAAAAAUUCUAACUUCACUUUCUGACAAAAGGCUUCCAUUUUAACAAGAGUCUGCACCCAGCCUGAGCUCUGCUGGGAAAACUUUCCAUGGCUGACUCCACCGGGACAACUCUCCAUGGGGAUAACUCUCCACUAGGACAUCUCUCAGCAGGGACAACUCUACAUGGGAUACCUCUAACCGUAAGCUUAACCCUAACUGUAAUGGCUCCUCAUGGACAGUUGUCACUGCAGAGAGUGUUCCCCGCAGACAGUUGUCCCUUCCUGCUGCCUUGGAUCCAGCCUGGCUCAGAGUGUGGCUUUGGUGGAUUCAGCAUGCUGGUGAACCCAGCUGUGCCUUGCUGAGCUGCUCACUCCCUCCUGCAGAGGACAGCUUGUGUCAUCAGUUCUACACAAUGUCCGUGACUCUGUCAGAGUGUGCAUACUGCAAGGCACACACCGGAGAGUCAGAACACAGGGACAAGUCUUGGAUCAUAUCCGACAGGAGGCAAGACUCACAUAACAGUGCAUCUUCUGCAUGAGGAAAGUCUCUUAGUUCUAUCAUUUUCCCCAUAUUCCUUUAAUGACAAACUUUCUCAUUCUCUUUAAAAUAAGGAGAUGAUUGCGAAGGAAUGGGCUAGACCUUGUUAAUUCUGGCUUUGCAAUUUCCUAUAAAGCUGUGCAGAGAGAAAGCCUUUGGGUUUUGCCUACUGUGAAAAAAAAAAGGGUGAUGAGAGAACAAAUUAUACUAACAGUUGCUCACUGGCAUAUUUUUCUCAUUCCCUAACUCUGACCAGCACACUUAGGAAGGAGACAAGAAAAGAAAGAUACAUGGAAUACAUCUAAGGACUGCAGUCCCUUCUUGGUGUCUCUCUGGCUACAGAAGAGAUGUAUCUGCCCAUGGGCCUUUUUCUCUCCGUGAGAACAGCAGACGUGGACAGCAAAAUCCAGUUGCCAGCCACAGUUCUGCUGCCCAGCUUCUGCCGGAGCUGCCAUGCUCAGGACAGCACUCACUUUUGGCUUACUUGGAUUGAGUUCUCGUCUGUGCUGAGGCCUUUGGUAAAGACACUACUUAAGAUCAUUCCUUCAUGAUCCUUCACCUACACUGGUUUUGUGGUUGUUUUGUUUUCCAAGCAUGACAUGGAGAAAUGCCUGUCUUUCUUAACUUGCCACGCAAACACACGUUGUGGCUUCUGCUGGAAAGAGAGUGGUGAACUGUGAGUUCCAGACCUGAUUUAAAGACUUUACAAAGCAAGCAAAAUGAAAGAGUGUCUAAACCUAAACAUCCUUACAUCCUUAUACUUUUUUCAUUGCUGCCAAGUGUUCCUUUUUCUCCUCCUAUGAUAUGUGAUUUUUCAAGUGCAUCUUGCUGGAGACAGGCAAUAUUAUGUGCUUGCCUGUUGGGUAUCGUACUCUUUCUUAACUGUUUCCCCGGCCCUGCCAAUCCUGUUGUUAAUCCGUGACAGAAGCCCAUCAUGCUUUACUACAAAUUAGAUACUCAGCAAAAGUAACUCUAGAAUGUUAAAGUAGUAAAAUAUAUUCACAGUAUCUCCGAGCAAAUGCUUUAAAUUUAUCCUAGGAACUGAUACUCAGCAUUUUGCUGUUCUGUAGACAUUCUUGGCUAUUAUUUUCCAUGAGCUCAGUAUCUCUGUUCACAGAAAACUGUGAACUCUUUCCUAAAACAGGUGGGAAGUUGGAAAAGCCUGACAGCCAGUGCAGCUCAUUUUUUCAAAUGCCAGACAACAAUUCAGAAAUGGUGUGCCUGGCUGAGAGGGAGAAAUAGAAAAGAUGAUGAUAUUUUGUGUGAAGCACAUGGAGCAAAUGCUGCCAUCAUAGCAAUUUCUCUGACCUCAGCCAUGCUUUGUGUUAUACAGCUGUGAAUGUAACAAAAUGCAGAUCCAGUGUUAAUUUCUAACCUUAUUAAUGAAAAUUUUCCUUUUGAAAAUACAAAUAAAAUAGCAGCAGCGUGUGUAGAACCUUGCUUUAUAUAUUGUUUUUUGUAGCUGAUGAAAACAAUUACACAUUACACUCAACUUUUUGUCCCCUUACGAGGUGAUGCACGGCUGCAUGUGGUGAAUUGUACAGCUGAAAGGCAAGACCUGGCUAUUGUAAUUCAAUAUAUGCAAAGCAAAGGCCAUGCAGAACUGUUUCCCUGGAACAUGUGGAAUAUAACUGUAGAACCCUCAAGUUACAAAGUGAAAUAACAAAGAGCAAGACAGGUUCCUUCAGCUUGGGGCUUGACAUUCACUUUACCACUUGUACUACUUGUUUUGUGGAAGACAAAAGUGGAGAGAAAUGGAAUUAUACUGGAAACUAGACAUACCAUGGCAGGAAACAUGGCCUUACAGAAAAAUUCUGCCUUGUAGAGGAAAGCUCAGAACUUUCCUCAACUUCUCAGUAGGACUGUAUUCAAUGUUACUGAACAGUCUUGAGGUUGACACUGUAGCUGCCAGUCUCACUGAACUCCACUGCCAAUACAAAGCCAUAGCAGAAAAAAAAAUCGUAGUGGAAAAGCCCUGUUUUCUGAAGUUACAUGCAGAACAACCCUGCCCCUAGUUCUCCUGCCCUUUGCAUACACUGUCCCAACUGGGAGCUAUUUGCUAAUGUGUGGGCUACUAAAUUUAGCAAGUUCCUGAUAACUGAAAACAAUCCAUAAGCCAGAAUUAUACUGCUGGUCACCAGUGAGACCUUCAAUCUACUUAACACCGGUUAGCUGACACAAAACUAGUUUAAAAAAAUUGAAAGUGUCAGCUGCUCUGUACUGCAGCAUUUUUUGGUGAAUGAAACAUACUGGAAAGAAUAAUUUCCUGUUUUUAGCUAAAACGACACAUCUUUAAGGAUGAUUUCAGUCUUCAGAAGAGCUGAUCUGAGAAGUUUGUUCACAGACAACAUGUGAGAGACAGAAGCAGAGAGAACGCAAAUUAUACUGGAAACUAGACCUGCCACGGCGGGAAGAGUGAUCUUCCUGGAAGAUCCUCCCUGUUAGAGGAGGAUCCCAACAUUGCUCACAUGAAAAGCCUUCAGAAAUGUGUUUGCAAAUCAUUGAAUCUGGUCAGCAAAAGACAGUUCUGAGUAUUAGCCACGCAUGAGGCUGGGUUAUAGGGAUCAGCGUAAUUCAGACUGCAUACAGCUACCGUCUUGAUGAUGGGUUGGGAGAAAGAGGGUAGUGCAGUUUUGUCUCACAUGAAGUAGAGAAUAAGUGAUUUGUAGUGUAGUGCAAAGAACAUUAGGAGCGAUGACUUGUCCAGCAUUUCUUCUCACAGGGAAAUCCAGACCUUAGUAUUAAUAGAGAUUAAUUUCAUGGGGUUGAUCACAGAAUCA